GCCAGCAUGGUGUAGUGGUUUGAGCAUUGGACUGUGACACUGGAGAACAGGGUUCAAAUCCCCGCUCUGCCA